rnacentral:rRNA from 1 species
GAUUAGAUACCCUGGUAGUCCACGCCGUAAACGAUGUCGACUUGGAGGUUGUGCCCUUGAGGCGUGGCUUCCGGAGCUAACGCGUUAAGUCGACCGCCUGGGGAGUACGGCCGCAAGGUUAAAACUCAAAUGAAUUGACGGGGGCCCGCACAAGCGGUGGAGCAUGUGGUUUAAUUCGAUGCAACGCGAAGAACCUUACCUGGUCUUGACAUCCACAGAACUUGGCAGAGAUGCCUUGGUGCCUUCGGGAACUGUGAGACAGGUGCUGCAUGGCUGUCGUCAGCUCGUGUUGUGAAAUGUUGGGUUAAGUCCCGCAACGAGCGCAACCCUUAUCCUUUGUUGCCAGCGGUUAGGCCGGGAACUCAAAGGAGACUGCCAGUGAUAAACUGGAGGAAGGUGGGGAUGACGUCAAGUCAUCAUGGCCCUUACGACCAGGGCUACACACGUGCUACAAUGGCGCAUACAAAGAGAAGCGAUCUCGCGAGAGCUAGCGGACCUCAUAAAGUGCGUCGUAGUCCGGAUUGGAGUCUGCAACUCGACUCCAUGAAGUCGGAAUCGCUAGUAAUCGUGAAUCAGAAUGUCACGGUGAAUACGUUCCCGGGCCUUGUACACACCGCCCGUCACACCAUGGGAGUGGGUUGCAAAAGAAGUAGGUAGCUUAACCUUCGGGAGGGCGCUUACCACUUUGUGAUUCAUGACUGGGGUGAAGUCGUAACAAGG